AAAGGUUCAAAAUCUCACAAGGUUAAUUGAUCUACCAUAAAUUAUGUACAAUUUAGAGUUUAGUCUUACAUAUCAUAUUCAGAAUGCACAAAAAGAAUCAAUCACAUCACACCACAAAUCUUUAAUCAAGAGAAUGGAGAAAAUACUCACAGUUGCAACUCGAAAACCACAGAAAAAACAUGUCAUUUUUAAAAUAAAACAAAACAAGUAAGUAAAUGAAAAACAAGAAAACACACAAUUA
rnacentral:lncRNA from 1 species